GGCCGCGGUACUUUGACCGUGCAAAGGUAGCAUAAUCAUUAGUUUUUUAAUUGAAAGCUGGUAUGAAAGGUUGAAUGAGAAAAUAACUGUCUUUUUUAUAAUUUAUUAGAAUUUUAUUUUUAAGUUAAAAAGCUUAAAUUUAAUUUAAAGACGAGAAGACCCUUUAGAGUUUUAUAAAAGAAAAAAUUUUUUUUUUUUUAGAAUUAACCCAAUAAAAAAUUUUUUUUUUUAUUUGGUUGGGGCGAUUAAAAAACUUAAAAAACUUUUUUUAUUAUGAAACAUUUAUUUAUGAAUAUUUGAUCCAUAUUUUAUGAUUAAAAGAAAAAAUUACCUAAGGGAUAACAGCGUUAUUUUUUUUGAGAGUUCAAAUCGAAAAAAAGGAUUGCGACCUCGAUGUUGGAUUAAAA
rnacentral:rRNA from 1 species